CUAUGCACAUUGAGGUGACAUUGCUCGAUCUUUUUGCGCUCGUGCUUGGCACGCAGCGCGAUAAAGCUGAUGUCGCCAGCAACCGCGGUCUCCGCGCCGCGCGGCUGCAGGAGGUGCUUGCGGCAAUCAAGACGGGCUUUGCUGACCCGGCUUUCUCAUCGGAUGAUGCGGCGUCCGCAGUCGGCGUAUCGCGCCGCUACGUCAAUGAUCUGCUUUAUGAGACCGGUGCGACCUUGGCCGAGCGCGUGCUCGAAUUACGGUUGCAGAAAGCNNNNNNNNNNGCGUCACGAUACCACGAAGAUCAACGAUAUCGCGUUUGCCUGCGGCUUCAACGAAGUCUCA
rnacentral:misc_RNA from 1 species